rnacentral:misc_RNA from 1 species
AAGUCGUAACAAGGUUUCCGUAGGUGAACCUGCGGAAGGAUCAUUACCGAGUUAGGGUCUCCUCCGUGAGGCCCGACCUCCCAACCCCGUGUCUAAUAAACCUGUUUGUGUUGCUUCGGCGGAACGGCAGUCGUUCCCUUCGGGAGACAACCGUCGCCGGGGGGUACACGGUCUUCACCGACCGCCCCUGGAGAGCGUCCGCCGAUGGCCCCCAACCAAAACAAAUUUACCAAACCCAAACCAUGGAACUAAAAUUUUCUGAAUCAGACUUUGAUAAUCAAUCAAAAAACAAAA